rnacentral:lncRNA from 1 species
UGGUAGUCAGAUACCUGGGCUUUCUGAGAGGCGGUGCAAGCUGGCUGUUGUGCAAAUUUUAUGUAGGUUAAUAAUGGAAGAUGGCUGCUUUAUGCUCAACAACUCUAGAGUUCACUAAGCAGAAUUAAUCUUCAAGGAUUAGGGUUACUUUCAGAUCCUCUAAAACAGUCGCCCUUAAUAACAGUAAAGGUUAUUAUGUUAUCAGACGUCCCUUUAGAAUAGGUGUUUCUUACAACUGGAAUUCAGGGUCACCAGGUGUCUACCUAACUGCAAAUGGCAACAUUUAAGAGGCCAGACAGUGGUGGUGUGCAAGUCAGGAGGCAGGGGCAGGUGGAUCUCUGAGUUUGAGGCUAGUCUGGUCUAUGCAGUGAAUUACAGGGCAGUCAGGGAUACCCAGAGAAACCCUUUCUCCAAAAUAACAACAACAACAACAACAACAGCAGCAGCAGCAGCAGCAGCAGCAGCAAAAAAAAAAAAAAAA